UAGACAUUGCCAAAAAUUAAUAUCUUCAGGAAGCUUUGUUUUCCACAUUUUAUGUAAAAAGAAAAGAAAAGAAAGAAGAAAAGAAGGAAGGAAGGAAGGAAGGAAGGAAGGAAGGAAGGAAGGAAGGAAGGAAGGAAGGAAGGAAGGAAGGAAGGAAGGAAGGAAGGAAGGAAGGAAGGAAGGAAGGAAGGAAGGAAGGAAGGAAGGAAGGAAGGAAGGAAGAGGAGAAAGAAAGAGAAA
rnacentral:lncRNA from 1 species